rnacentral:rRNA from 1 species
CUACGGGCCGCUCAGUGAGGAAUAUUGCACAAUGGGGGGAACCCUGAUGCAGCAACGCCGCGUGGAGGAUGACGCAUUUCGGUGUGUAAACUCCUUUUAUAUGUCAAGAAAAUGACGGUAGCAUAUGAAUAAGCACCGGCUAACUCCGUGCCAGCAGCCGCGGUAAUACGGAGGGUGCAAGCGUUACUCGGAAUCACUGGGCGUAAAGGACGCGUAGGCGGGUUGGAAAGUCAGGUGUGAAAUCCUACAGCUUAACUGUAGAACUGCACUUGAAACUUCUAAUCUAGAGUAUGGGAGGGGGAGAUGGAAUUAGUGGUGUAGGGGUAAAAUCCGUAGAUAUCACUAGGAAUACCUAAAGCGAAGGCGAUCUCCUGGAACAUUACUGACGCUAAGGCGUGAAAGCGUGGGGAGCAAACAGGAUUGAUACCCGUGUAGUC